AGAGUUUGAUCCUGGCUCAGGAUGAACGCUAGCUACAGGCUUAACACAUGCAAGUCGAGGGGAAACGACAUCGAAAGCUUGCUUUUGAUGGGCGUCGACCGGCGCACGGGUGAGUAACGCGUAUCCAACCUGCCCACCACUUGGGGAUAACCUUGCGAAAGUAAGACUAAUACCCAAUGAUAUCUCUAGAAGACAUCUGAAAGAGAUUAAAGAUUUAUCGGUGAUGGAUGGGGAUGCGUCUGAUUAGCUUGUUGGCGGGGUAACGGCCCACCAAGGCGACGAUCAGUAGGGGUUCUGAGAGGAAGGUCCCCCACAUUGGAACUGAGACACGGUCCAAACUCCUACGGGAGGCAGCAGUGAGGAAUAUUGGUCAAUGGACGAGAGUCUGAACCAGCCAAGUAGCGUGCAGGAAGACGGCCCUAUGGGUUGUAAACUGCUUUUAUAAGGGAAUAAAGUGAGCCUCGUGAGGCUUUUUGCAUGUACCUUAUGAAUAAGGACCGGCUAAUUCCGUGCCAGCAGCCGCGGU
rnacentral:rRNA from 1 species